CGAGUGAAGCGGCAAAAGCUCAAAUUUGAAAUCUGGCGCCUUCGGUGUCCGAGUUGUAAUUUGAAGAUUGUAACCUUGGGGUUGGCUCUUGUCUAUGUUUCUUGGAACAGGACGUCACAGAGGGUGAGAAUCCCGUGCGAUGAGAUGCCCAAUUCUAUGUAAGGUGCUUUCGAAGAGUCGAGUUGUUUGGGAAUGCAGCUCUAAGUGGGUGGUAAAUUCCAUCUAAAGCUAAAUAUUGGCGAGAGACCGAUAGCGAACAAGUACAGUGAUGGAAAGAUGAAAAGAACUUUGAAAAGAGAGUGAAAAAGUACGUGAAAUUGUUGAAAGGGAAGGGUUUGAGAUCAGACUCGAUAUUUUGUGAGCCUUGCCUUCGUGGCGGGGUGACCCGCAGCUUAUCGGGCCAGCAUCGGUUUGGGCGGUAGGAUAAUGGCGUAGGAAUGUGACUUUACUUCGGUGAAGUGUUAUAGCCUGCGUUGAUGCUGCCUGCCUAGACCGAGGACUGCGAUUUUAUCAAGGAUGCUGGCAUAAUGAUCCCAAACCGC
rnacentral:rRNA from 1 species